rnacentral:rRNA from 1 species
CUAGCCGUAAACGAUGUGAACUUGGCGUUGGUGGGUUAAACUCCAUCAGUGUCGUAGCUAACGCGAUAAGUUCACCGCCUGGGGACUACGGCCGCAAGGUUAAAACUCAAAGGAAUUGACGGGGGCCCGCACAAGCAGCGGAGCGUGUGGUUUAAUUCGAUGCUACACGAAGAACCUUACCCGGGCUUGACAUGACGAUGAACGAUUGCGAAAGCAUGAGGCUCCCGCAAGGGACAUCGCCACAGGUGUUGCAUGCCUGUCGUCAGCUCGCGUCGUGAGAUGUUCGGUUAAGUCCGCUAACGAGCGCAACCCUCGCCGCGUGUUACAAGUGUCACGCGGGACCGCCGGUAUCAAGCCG